UUGAAACCAUGCCUAUAAGACUUUAUAUUUAUUAUAUGUUGCCUUGCUAUAUUAGAAAUUAUGCCUGUAGGUCUCAAGUGGUUCCAAUAAUAGAAAUCAUGUUUAUAGAUCUUAAAAUCAACCUCACAAGUAGAUACCAUGCCUAUAGAAUAUGAUCCAGUUCAACUUCUAUUAUAACAGACAUUUAUAUUUGCUUUCAUUUGUUAUCAUGCCUACCAGUUUUUAACAUCAGUUUUUUAAAACGAUUAGCUAUCAUGCCUAUAUGGAACACCUGAAAUUCCGCCUAUAAAUUUAAACCAGUUUAGUUUAAAUAAAUUAAUCCAGUCCAUGAUUAGUUCACUUCGAAACUAGUUUAAUUAGUGGCUUAUUUCCCUUGAAAUGAAUUCUUUCAAAAACCUCCUUAAUCUAUCAUUAGAUAGCAUGUCUAUAGGGAUUCAAGAGUCUGUUUUAAAAUCUGCCAUGUUUUACUAUAUAAAACGUAGUUAUCAUUAUUCCGUGUGUGGUCAAACAUUAGGACAUUUUCAAAUCCUGUAACCUUGAAAUUGUUUCUGUUACUUAAUGUCAUUCUAAUUUUUAAAAGGCUUAAGAAAUCAGUAGACAAACUGGUAAGGCCAUUACUCUGAAUUUGUAAAAUAAACUGCCUAUCUUCUAUGUCUUGAUAUUCAUUUAGACAUCAUGCCUUAAGAUACUAUUUAACAAAAUCCCCUUAUUUAUGUUUGAGUCGUGCUGUUAUGUGUAUUGUUUGUGGAGGUAAACUUGAGCCUCUAAUUGCUUCUUUUCGGUCUUAUGUGCUAAGGUCCUAUUUGUUCUUGCCUGAUGCCUUACAUUUUCUCCUUUAACCCUUAGGGGCUCUUUAGAACUACCUAUAAGUAGAGGUCCUAAAUAUUCCUCAGGACCAUUAAGAAGGUACGGGUAACAACACGCAAUAGAGAUCGCUGGCCAACAUUUACUAUAAUGACCACUAAGGGGUGGGAAGGGUAGAUAUGGGAUACGAUGACUACGCACUAAUAUCACGUGUAUCCCCUCAUUGAGGAGUGUUUACUCUAUAUUGUGUGGGGUGAUCCAAUAGGCUAACCAACCCAAGACUCCUCUUUUUCCCAAAAUUCCUUUUUAAAACUUUGUUUAUAUGUAUACAGCUUGUUCAAAGUCAAUGUCUUAUUAUUUGAGUUAUAUAACGUGCUUUAUUUGCAAACUAUUUAAUUCAACUAUUUAUUGGUUAACGGACCAAUGCGUAAUAUAAGUUGAGCGGGGACCCACAGUUGUGGACUAAGAGGGGUGCCUAAUACCUUCCCUCAAGGUCAUUUCGAGCCAUUACCCUAAUCUCUGGUAAUGCAAAUCAAUCCAAGAUUUAAUCGCUCUAGAUGCCCUGACGCACCAUAACAAGUUAGGUGGUGACCCUUCAAAUGCCCAAUUCCCGAAAAGGAAAUGACUUAUUACCCCCCAUGAAUGUAAAAAGCCGGACUUCUCUCCGCAGAAGGAAAAAAGGGGCACGACACCCAUUAGUUUGUCCAGUUCUGGAACUGUCAAUGUAACAUUUGUCUCUAAUGGAGUCUAGGAUUAUUUUUCUCCACUCAAUCCCAAGUCUGAUAUUAUCUCCAACGCAUACUUCCUUUAAUUGAUCAGAGUACCUUUAUUGGAUUUGUAUGCCAAGAAAAAACUUUAGAUCUCCUAAGUCUUUAAUCUUGAAGACUUGUUGUAAGAAGAUUUUGGUGGUUUCAAUCAGCUGCAAGUUAUUUCUUGUAUAUAUCAGUAUUAUCACUAUGUCUGCUCAUUUAUUCUUGAUGAACAAGAAGUGAUCAACCAGACUGGCUCUUUAGAUUCCCUUUGUGAUCUUCUUAAGGUAUUGGGAUGUGUCUGUCAUUCAUGACGAUCAUAAAGUGAUGUAGAUGGUGUCUCUAAAAGGAUGCCCCUGAUUCAUGAAUUACUGGAUAAGGACUUCUAGUAGGUGUGUGAUAUUGAUCUUCAGAAGGCAGUACGUUGCGCUGAUCUUGUUCAAAUAUGUAUGAAGGCUGUGAAUUGUCUGCAUGUUGUAUAACAUCUCCUGUAUUAUCACUUCGAACAUGUAUCUGCUCAGCAGUUGGUAGCAUUAGGAUCAUCUGCAUUUUUACCUUCAAAACUAAAAACAUCAGUAAUAGUAGGUGUGACUUGGUUCCUAAUAUCACGAGU
rnacentral:lncRNA from 1 species